AAACCCAGGUCUGAAGUGGCUCAGAUUCUCUUUUGCCUCUCCUGUGCGUGGAUCCUUGCUGCUUUUUCGUGGGAGUUGUGCCUGUGGCGGCGCUUGGUGUGUCCAGCUGCGUUGGAUUUACUCCGCGUAAAUAGCACUCCGCUCUCCGUGGUGCACUGGUGGCGUGUGUGGACACCUGGUCAGCUGUAGCAAAUUACAGCUGCGGUUGGGAACCUCGCGCUGCUCUGUGGUGUCUCCGCUGUGCGUAAAGGCCGCCGUUUGCGUGGUCUUGUGGCAUUUGAUGUUCGGGUAAGUGGCAUGUCUCUCUCUUUGACCCAUUGGGCUGUACCCAGCCAGUCUAAUGCUCUCUCUUCUUUGUGUAGUGUGGUGGUUUCUUGUGCGUGGUAACACACACGUUUAUUCGGAGGCUGAGAGUACGUCUCCGUGGGGGUCUGGAGACCGGUGCUUUUUCUGCUUGCAGGGUUAAGCUGCAUCUCCUGAAAGCGCCGGCUACGGCUGGCACAACUCCUCCCACCUCCGCUGUUCUGGAUUGCGGUGUUCUGGAUUGCGGUGUUCUGGAUUGCGGUGUUCUGGAUUGCACUGGCAAGUGUGGGGUUGGUCCAUUCUGGAUGUCCCUCCUCCCAGUUCAGUCGUGGGUUCCGGACUUCUGGUAAAACUGUUUCUCUUUAUUUGACUGGUACUGCACAAAAAGAACUUUAGGUCCCUUGGUGUUAGAAACAGUCAAGAUUUAUGUACAUAUUGUAAAUUUUAACUGUAAAUAACUGGUGGUUUGUUAAUGUGAAUUUUGUGUUUAUAUUCUUUGCAUGUUGUGUGUAUUUUUGGUUUGAGAUUUCUUUUUUUGUUGUUGUUGUUUGUAUCAUUUAUCAUGUUAUAUUGGGCAUUUAUUGAAGCCUAUU